rnacentral:rRNA from 15 species
CUUCGUGACAAUAGCGAAGAGGUCACACCUGUUCCCAUACCGAACACAGAAGUCAAGCUCUUCAGCGCCGAUGGUAGUUGGGGGUUUUCCCCCUGCGAGAGUAGGACGUCGCUAAG